rnacentral:lncRNA from 1 species
ACUUUAUUAUUUUCAAGACAGUGUCUCAUUUAUUCCAAGUUGACCUCAAAUUUACUAUUUCUGAGGAUGACCUUGAACUUCUGAUUCCCCGGCCUGCAUGUAAAGAUUGCAGGCCAGAACCACUAGUUGUAUGCUUUGCUGGGGAUCGAACCUGGGACUUAACAUAUGCUAGGGAAACAACUCUACUGAGCUACAUCCCCAACCCAGCAGCGGAGUGUCAUGUACAGAACCACUUGUCCCCAGGCAGGACGUUGUACCUCAGUUUGACCGUCAUACUUGGUGAAGGAUAAGCCCCAUAAUCACACACGGAGAAACCCAGGCUCAGGGAAAACAAACUCCCUGAGGUCAUUCAUCGGAUAAGUGCGUUUGCUAGAAUUGGGGCUAGGUACCUGUGGCCCAAAGUCCUUUGAAACUCUGACCCCAGGUUAUCCCCAUUACAUAAACGCAGAGGUGGCAGCAGGGGCCAGACCAGCACAGGGCACAGUGAGAAUCAACGAGGACUUUUUCAGGGAACUUUUCCCAUUGAAAACAUGUUCCCUGGCGGCCACGGGUGAUGUAUGGUUGGAGUUGAUGAGAAACGUGCGGUGGAAUGGAGACCGCCGGCGCGGGCAGCCCACGCGGGGCAGCGCGGCAUUGAGAUUCCACCAGUCUGGGGGGGGGGGCGGCGCAGGCCCUGACACGGGCCGGGUAAUUGAUCUGGAGGUGCCAAUUUGCAGCAACUAAAUAUUUGGUUUCUGCUUCUGCCUGCUCCGCGCUCUGCUCAAACAAACUUCAAUUAAAAGCGAAAAGCAAGUGUGGGGAGGCAGCGCGCCAGGGUCCCCGCGACCAGAUCGAUGGCAUCCAGCCUGCGGGCUGCUGAGCGCCUAACGGUGGGGCGGGAGGCACCGCCUAUGAGGGCAGAGCCGGCGCCCUCUUUCGGAUCGCUGAGCACUGGGCGCACGGCCCAGGAGAGGCAGCACGCGGGGAGGGGGGGGGGCACUUCAGAGUCACUAGAGCCCAGGAGCACCAAGCCAUGGUCACACACAAGAAGGGCUCCCUGGGCGCUGACCCUGCUUUCCGGACGCAUAUCAGCAGAGGAAUUUUGAACACAGCCUCAACUGUGUUUUCUCUGCAUUUUCUUCCAGUCUCGGGCUUAUUUUCGCUGCCCGCGGCUGCCCAGCAUUUCUACCAUUGAGUGGGCCAAAGAGCUGUAGGCGAGCCGUCCCAAGCCCAUCCCUGGAGGGGAGCAGGAGAGGUUUUGGAAUCGGGGCAGUAACUAUAGCAGGGAGAAUAGGCUGGAUCGUGGACCACUUGUCACUGAUCUCCUGGGGUUCCAGACAAAUGGCUAGUCAGUGGAGACUGGGGUUUACAGACUAGUUUUUGCCCCUUGGGAUCUUCCAGUCCUUUUGGGGAGACGUCCUGUGGUAGAAAAGGGGUACUCAGGUGGGAGAGGGAGGCGGAGGCUCUGUGGCAGGCAGGGGCAGGCUGAAGGGUGGCUAGGAUAGGUUCUGGAGGACUGCGGAGGGAAGGAAUGGGGAAUGAAAAGGGGCAUCCAAGUGGGCGCAGUUCUUGGCAGGAGUGAAGGCUUCUUGGUGUCCUCCUUUCCUAGGAGCCAGAGGCGGGACCUCCGGCAGAGGGGUUGAGGUGGUGAGGAAGGGCUCCCUCUCCCACACUCCUGCGGUCCACCUUCUGGACUGGAAUCCCAUUGACUAAGCCAGGAUAUUCCGCGCCUUCCCUGCUCCCCCAGGGAGUGAGUUCUGAUAGCCUUAACCUGGGGCUCCUUGGCUGGGGCUGGCUGUGGGAGUACAGGUUCGUUUGGCCAGUGAGAACUUCAGUUUCUAGGCCCUCAGGCAAGUCUUGUAGGGGCCCCUGGGUGCCACCCACCCCAGUCUCUAGUUCCCUCUGGAGUUGAAUAGUCUCAUCCAUGGUUUUCUAUCUUCUUCUUCUCUAGACAAACUCCUUGAAGCACAAGCUUCACCUGGGAAUGAUCCUCACUGGCCGUUAGCCUCUGAGUUUCUCUACAGCUUGGGGCUCCAAUCUCCCCACAAAAAAACCCACCAACAACCUGGAUCCAAAGCUCUAUGUGAGGCUGAGGAAGAGCCCAGA